UAGGGUGUGGUUUAAAUUUAGGAAGACGAAUUUUACAGCAUGCUUUCUGAACAUUAACCCCCAAGACGGCUCGUCUAUGAUUGAAGGUUUCAGACAUGUAUACAUAUAUAAUAUUCUGGCCUGAGCGACACCGAUUGACGACUUGAUUUAUUUAUGGAUACUUAAAACAAAAGAUAUUAUAAGCGAGACUGAGGUCUGUACUGAAGCAAAUACGCUAUAGUUACAAAUAAAAUUGAAAAGUUGGAAGAUCGCUAUAGUCAGACCCUUUAUAACAACUAUAACGAAUAUUAUUGGAGUUUUUCAGAACCAUCCUAAUGUAUUAAUACAUAUCUACAAAUCUACAUCUGUUUUUAUUUUUUACUCACUAAAUACCCUUUAUUAUGGAUUUAUUACAGAACAAUUGACAAGCUUAACACUUUAUGACCAUGAUAUGUGGUCACUGCUUGGUGAAGGUUGUUGGAUAAUAAAAAAAAUAUAUAUUAUUAUCAAUAACCGAAAAUGUUAAAACGAUUCAAAUUACAUUUCUAACACAACUAUUACAACAACAACCAUUGAUGGUUUUCUUCAACAUCCAAUCAAGAUCGAAAUAACUCAAUCGCUUGUUGUUGUUUAUUUACAAGGAUUACAAGUUGAACGAGGAUAAAGUGAUCGCUAGCGGUUGAUCUCAAAAGGUAGCUGUACAUAGAAGCGGUGAAGGAGGUGAAGCAACGUCUACUCAUUAUUGUACAUAGAGAUGCGUGUACGUGCUUCUUACGAAUUUGUCAUACGAUAUGUGAUGAAAUCAAAAUGCCGUCAGACUAUUAAACGAAGUUAAAUGACGCACCACCAGUUGGUCGCCUGGACAUGAAUGCCGAAGCAUGUGUAAGGAAUUGAUUGACAACAACAAUGCGUCAAUGGAAACAAGGACCUGCAUAGACAAGACGAAGUUUUUUUUUCUUCUACUCCGAAGUCCGCUAUUUAACUUAGCAUCUUGUCAUAGCUCAUCAUCGUGAUAAGACAUCAAAAUGUUGACAUGCAUUGAAAUGUGUUGUGCUCCCUGAGCAGCAGUAGUACGAGUAUGCUGCUGCUUCUUGCUCCCCGCACCAGAAGUACAACACGAUCUUAAUCAAGCAAACACUUUAUGCGACUAAACGAUCGGAUUGGAACAAGUGAUGAGGGUUCUUCUAUUCGCGCAAAUAAAUUUCAGAAAAAGAUGUCAGGAUAAUAAUAGUGCUGCCUGAACGCCCACUUGAAUCGUUUGGAGUCUAUUGAAUAAGUAGUGAAUAUCGUGAUUUUAUUAGAUAAAUCUUUUGCACAAUUGAUUCAGCCGAAAAAAUACUUGCUUUCCAUUUUUUUUUCAUAUUUUUCUUCAAACUUAAAUUUUCAACCUAAAAAAUUACACAAUAAAAUUCGUUGAAUAUGAAAAUUUGUAUUAUAUUUUUUGUUGUCGGCAAACAAAAGCACGAACCCUUUCACUAUACAUAUUUUACAACUAAUUGAUUUUUAAAGAAUCUCUGCUCCAAUGGAGCACAAAGACUUUCCAUGAAAUUAACCGCAAUUUCGUUUACUUAAAUUUCACUUAGGGAAAAUACAAAAACCAAAAACAAAAAACAGCAAAAAAUAUGAUAAUAAAAUGAAAUAGCUAAAUAACAACAACAAAGACCACUCUUCAUUGCUCAAAUCUAUUUGCAAUUGUGCUCGUUCUCUCAACUUUUGAACGUGACUGUUGAACCUGUUACUGAAAUCAUGUUCGAAUUGAUUUCGAAUUGCCAGUGAACGCUUUUCAUACAACAAAAUUACGCGUUCCAAUGCGCGCUUCUCAUGUUUUAUAUUUCACUUCAUUCUAUUUCUUUUGUUGUUUACAAUUUUCCCACUCGUUUGCUAGUGGUGCACUUGUCUUCAUCUUUCUUUCAUUUUUUUUUUGUUUUGUGCAAAGUUAUAUCAGCGACGCGUGAUCUCAUCAAUUUUUUUUUUAUUGCCAUCAAGUGUAAGGCAUUUAAUUGCAACUAAAAUUAAGGGAUGCAAUGAAAUUUUAGAACUGAGAAUUGUUGCAGCGACUGUCGCUUUGUAAAAUGAAUACUAUUCUUAUAAAAUUAUAUCACAGUAUUUCCAGAACUUGUUAGUUUCUUAAGAUCACCCGGCAUAUAGAAAAAUGCAAACGAUGUGAGAACAGUACUGGCGAUUUGUGGAGCUAGAGUGCCAAAAUAAGUUUUCUUGUUCCAUUUAGGAUAAAGCAGCGGACCAAAUACAAGAUAAUCAGAUGACAGUCGUAUCCGAGAUUGCUGAUGACUAGAGUAAUUGUUUCGUCGGCUUUAGAGUCCUAGAUGUCAUCCGUUUAGCGAUUUGAGAAAGUCAUUAAGGCAGUAGUCUGCUUUACAGAGGCCAAUUCGACAUAUUUUCGAAGCUGGAGCAGUUUUAGUGGGCGAGCGCCGAGCAGGUGCGAAUGCUCAGGCAGACCUUUAAAGCGCGUUUUCUCGAGUUUUCAUUUUCACAGCUGUUAGAAAACGGUGCCGGCUAUAGCAAAAAGAAUAUAUGUCCGAACGAAAAAAACCAAAGUGAUCUAGCUUCAGUAUUAAAUUAUUAUAUUAUAUAUUAAAUUAUCUUCUAUUUGAGGUAAAAAAGUUGGAGAAAAGUAUUAUUUAAACUACUUGUUUUGCAACUUAAAGUCAAUUUUUUUGAUUUUUUUUUAAACUUCGAAAAAAUUUGGAAUUUUAUAUCGCACGACCUCCAUCACCGGCACCGAUUUACAAGUGCUGACUCCAGGCGCUCCAGAAAAAUACUUACUACUUUGAAAAAAUGUCAAUAUUUUUUAAUAAUAAAUAUUGUUUUUUAAGCCUUAAAUAUAGUACACUAUCGUCUUAAAAUUCCGUUUACCGCAAUCAUUUCCGUCCCUUUCAAAAAAAAUUGCUAAAAAACGCUUUUUUCGGCUUCUAAAGCAGACUACUGCCGCAAGCUCACGGCUAGGCUGGUACCACUCCCAACGGUCUGUGAGCCAAAAGCCACUUGAAAAAAAAAGUUCUUUAUUUUCUUUGGCAAUUAUAUAUCUUAUAGUACAUGUAAAACCUAACAUAAAACAUAUGGUUUUAGGUCUGUGUAACGCGGGGUUGCCAUAUUAUAAGGGGCCAAAGUUUUUUGUAAAAAAAUUUUCGAACCGCCAUAACUUUAAAACUAAUGAACAGAUUUUAAAACACCAUGUGACUUUUUUGUACAGAAUUUCUCAAACUUUGAAACUGUAUAUCGUAAAAAUUUUUAAAAUUAAUAUUUCAUAGCAAACAAUGAAAAAAAAAAAAAAAUUUUGGAAUUUUUAACAACUUAUGCCCCCUUCGUUUUUUUCGAAAAUAUCUUAAAAUGUUCCUUAUUUCAUCACCUUUUUACCCCCCAAAGGGAAUUUUGGGACAGCACUAUUUGUAUGAGCUACAAAUAAAAAACCAACUCAGAACAUGAUGAAAAAUCAUUGAUUUACGCACUAUUAUUAUCAGAAUUUAGCGUAAUCCAGGAUUAACGACGUGGACGUA